rnacentral:rRNA from 1 species
UACAGAGGGGGCAAGCGUUAUUCGGAAUUACUGGGCGUAAAGCGCACGUAGGCGGCUUUGUAAGUAAGAGGUGAAAGCCCAGAGCUCAACUCUGGAAUUGCCUUUUAGACUGCAUCGCUUGAAUCAUGGAGAGGAUCAGUGGAAUUCCGAGUGUAGAGGUGAAAUUCGUAGAUAUUCGGAAGAACACCAGUGGCGAAGGCGGCUGACUGGACAUGAUUGACGC